rnacentral:rRNA from 1 species
AACGAACGCUGGCGGCAGGCCUAACACAUGCAAGUCGAACGCGCGUAGCAAUACGCGAGUGGCGCACGGGUGAGUAACACGUGGGAAUCAACCCAGAGGUUCGGAAUAACCGCGGGAAACUGCGGCUAAUACCGGAUAUCCCCUACGGGGGAAAGAUUUAUCGCCUUUGGACGAGCCCGCGUCCGAUUAGCUAGUUGGUGAGGUAAUGGCUCACCAAGGCUACGAUCGGUAGCUGGUCUGAGAGGACGACCAGCCACACUGGAACUGAGACACGGUCCAGACUCCUACGGGAGGCAGCAGUGGGGAAUAUUGGGCAAUGGAGGCAACUCUGACCCAGCCAUGCCGCGUGGGUGACGAAGGUCUUCGGAUUGUAAAGCCCUUUCGGCGGGACGAUGAUGACGGUACCCGCAGAAGAAGCCCCGGCUAACUUCGUGCCUGCAGCCGCGGUAAUACGAAGGGGGCUAGCGUUGUUCGGAAUUACUGGGCGUAAAGGGCGUGUAGGCGGCCCGUUAAGUCAGGUGU